rnacentral:rRNA from 1 species
GUCUGUUUGUAGAUAUAAAGAGUUUGACCUGCCCACUGAUAGAAUUUAAGGGCCGCGGUAUUUUGACCGUGCAAAGGUAGCAUAAUCGUUAGUUUUUUAAUUGGAAUCUUGUAUGAAUGGUUGGACAAAAGAAAAUCUGUCUCUAUAGCUAUAAAGUGAAUUUAACUUUUAAGUGAAAAGGCUUAAAUGAAUUAAAGGGACGAUAAGACCCUAUAAAGCUUAAUAUGGAGGUAUUAUUUGGUUGAAUUUUCAUAAUAUAAAAAUUUAGUGAUUUAGAAGUAUUAUAUUGGGGCGAUAAAAGUAAAAUGAUUGUUAACUGCUUAUUUGUUUAAACAAAAAUGAGUGAUUAAAGUUGUAGAGGGUCCUAGUUAUGGAUUAAAAGAUUAAGUUACUUUAGGGAUAACAGCGUUAUUUUUUUUGAGAGUUCAUAUCGAGAAAAGAGUUUGCGACCUCGAUGUUGAAUUAAAAUAUCUGUACAAUUGCAGUAGUUGUAUGAGAAGGUCUGUUCGACCUUUAAAUUUUUACAUGAUUUGAGUUCAGACCGGCGUGAG